GCGUCCGUAGCUCAGUUGGCAGAGUGAUGGGGCGGUACCCCACGGUUCCGGGUUCAAGUCCUGGCGGCCGCU